rnacentral:misc_RNA from 1 species
UCUCCGUAGGUGAACCUGCGGAGGGAUCAUUACUGAGUGAGGGUCUCCGGGCCCGACCUCCAACCCUUUUGUGAACCACCUCGUUGCUUCGGGGGCGACCCUGCCGCUUCGGCGGUGCGGCGCCCCCGGAGGCCAUUAAACACUGCAUCAUUGCGUCGGAGUUAAAGUAAAUUAAACAAAACUUUCAACAACGGAUCUCUUGGUUCUGGCAUCGAUGAAGAACGCAGC